rnacentral:tRNA from 1 species
GGCUGGGCUUCGAGUAGGCGUAGGCUGGGCUGAGCUUGCGAAGCCCAGCCCCUCGAUCGCUGGGCUUCGAGUACUCAGCCCAGCCU